GUAGGGUGCGAGCGUUAAUCGGAAUUACUGGGCGUAAAGCGUGCGCAGGCGGUUUUGUAAGCCAGAUGUGAAAUCCCCGGGCUUAACCUGGGAAUGGCAUUUGGGACUGCAAGGCUUGAGUGCGGCAGAGGAGACUAGAAUUCCUGGUGUAGCAGUGAAAUGCGUAGAUAUCAGGAGGAAUACCGAUGGCGAAGGCAGGUCUCUGGGCUGACACUGACGCUCAUGCACGAAAGCGUGGGGAGCAAACAGGAUUAGAUACCCUGGUAGUCCACGCCCUAAACGAUGUCGACUGGUUGUUGGGGGUUUGACACUCUCAGUAACGAAGCUAACGCGUGAAGUCGACCGCCUGGGGAGUACGGCCGCAAGGUUA
rnacentral:rRNA from 1 species